CAGUAGCCGCGGUAAUACAGAGGGUGCAAGCGUUAAUCGGAAUUACUGGGCGUAAAGCGCGCGUAGGUGGUUUGUUAAGUUGGAUGUGAAAUCCCCGGGCUCAACCUGGGAACUGCAUCCAAAACUGGCAGGCUAGAGUAGGGCAGAGGGUGGUGGAAUUUCCUGUGUAGCGGUGAAAUGCGUAGAUAUAGGAAGGAACACCAGUGGCGAAGGCGACCACCUGGGCUCAUACUGACACUGAGGUGCGAAAGCGUGGGGAGCAAACAGGAUUAGAGACCCGAGUAGUCCCUGUCUCUUAUAC
rnacentral:rRNA from 1 species